rnacentral:misc_RNA from 1 species
AAGUCGUAACAAGGUUUCCGUAGGUGAACCUGCGGAAGGAUCAUUGCUGAUGCCGGCGGCGUGCCCGAUGAGAUCAAACCCUCAAAAGGCCGCCGCUUUAAUCAUCUGCCCCUUUGUGAACCCGGCAUCGAGGUGAGCUUGAGCUUUAGGGGCCCAGGCAUACCAAAUCACCUCCCUGCCCAACCAACCUGUCUUUUAUUGCCUGUCUCCCCAGACUGAAGCAAAAAAAAACAAAAACAUAUCUUACAACUUUUAACAAUGGAUAUCUUGGCUCGC